GGCAGGUGAGCUGGACAAUUUAAAACCAUUCUAUAUUUCUAUGGUUAUAUACUAAGUGGCUGAGAAUCAAAUUAAUUUUUUUUUUUUGUUCUCCUGAGCCAUGCUUAUAAAACUUGUUUUUGCUUCAGAGGUUGUGUUGCUCAGAAAUUAUUUCCUAAUAGGCCCUUGGUGUUAAUGUGUUGAAGCAGCUAUAAGUUUCACUUGCAAUUGUUUACUUAUCCUGAAUAAUCAAAGUCUUUGUAAUACAUAAGAACUGAUAUUAUUCAGUGCUCUUUGGAUUCCCAGGCACCUCCUAGAAGACGUGUUUAUUCAUGGAUUGCAACUACUAAGCUGUCCUGUUUGGGGUUGCUGAUGGCACACUGUUUCUCUGAGAGCUGUGUACUCUCAAUUUCCAAAAAAUUAUUACGGGGGCAGAGAGCACUGGGGAGGAGUUGGAGCUAGUGUAAGUGGUUGGAAAAAAACAUUUCAUUUAUUAGAGCCAGCAAAAUAAAACCAAUGAGCAUGGAAGCUUAAGCCUCAAAUAAUAAAAUCUUGUAAAAUUCUAAACAGUUAUAUCGUUUAGGAGAAAAUAACCAUUAAUAAAAACAAGAAUAAAAGUCGCAGUGGAGAAUGAGCAAUGUUUUAAUUUCAGCCCUAAGUCAUCAAACUGUUCACAGUGCAUUAGAAGAAAUGGAAAUUUGACAAUUACUCUAACAGAUAAGUCAGUCUGUAAUAGACUUGUGGAUGUAUUAUCCUGGGGCUUUCAUAGAAUUUACUGAAUUUCAAAUAACACUCUUAUAGAUUUUGGGGGAAAGGAUGGUACCUCUCUAACUCUUUACACUAAUUGUAUUAGAGACCAAAUUGAUUUAAAAGUAAACCAAAUAAAUAUUAACCUG
rnacentral:lncRNA from 7 species